AUUGAACGCUGGCGGAAUGCUUUACACAUGCAAGUCAAGCGGCAGCGCGGCCUUCGGGCUGGCGGCGAGCGGCGAACGGGUGAGUAAUGCAUCGGAACAUGCCCAGUCGUGGGGGAUAACACUUCGAAAGAAGUGCUAAUACCGCAUACGUCCUGAGGGGGAAAGCGGGGGAUCGCAAGACCUCGCGCGAUUGGAGUGGCCGAUGUCAGAUUAGCUAGUUGGUGGGGUAAAGGCCUACCAAGGCGACGAUCUGUAGCUGGUCUGAGAGGAUGAUCAGCCACACUGGGACUGAGACACGGCCCAGACUCCUACGGGAGGCAGCAGUGGGGAAUUUUGGACAAUGGGGGCAACCCUGAUCCAGCCAUUCCGCGUGAGUGAAGAAGGCCUUCGGGUUGUAAAGCUCUUUCGGCAGGAACGAAACGGUGGGCUCUAACAUAGUCCGCUAAUGACGGUACCUGAAGAAGGAGCACCGGCUAACUACGUG
rnacentral:rRNA from 1 species